rnacentral:tRNA from 1 species
GGAGGGGUGGGUGAGUGGCUGAAACCAACGGUUUGCUAAACCGUCCUAGGGUGUCAAACCUUAGCGCGGGUUCGAAUCCCGCCCCCUCCG